UACGUAGGGGGCGAGCGUUGUCCGGAUUUAUUGGGCGUAAAGAGCUCGUAGGCGGUCUGUCGCGUCUGCUGUGAAAACUCAGGGCUUAACCCUGAGCUUGCAGUGGGUACGGGCAGACUAGAGUGCGGUAGGGGAGACUGGAAUUCCUGGUGUAGCGGUGAAAUGCGCAGAUAUCAGGAGGAACACCGGGUGGCGAAGGCGGGUCUCUGGGCCGGAUACUGACGCUGGAGGAGCGAAAGCGUGGGGAGCGAACAGG
rnacentral:rRNA from 1 species